rnacentral:rRNA from 1 species
UCUAUAAAUAAAUUCUAAAGUAGUAAAAAUAAAACUUAAAAUUUUGACGGUAUUUAAUUUUCAAAGGAAUAUGUAAUUUAAUCGUCUUUACACGUUACACCUUACUUAUUUUAUUUUUGUAUAUCUCCGUUGUCAGAUCUUAUAUAAAAUAAUAUUAAAAUUCUUUUAAAAGAAUUUUAAAACAUCAGGUCAAGAUCCAAAAUAAAUAAGAUAUUAUGUAUUACAAUCAAAUAAAUUGUAAUGAAUAAAUUUUGAAAAUAAUUUUGAAAAUGAAUUUGCAAGUAAAAUAUUUAUAGAAAAAAUAUUUGAAAAUAAUUAAAUAUGU